AUUAAAAAGAAAGAGAAGAAAAAAUAAGAAGAAAUGAAUAGAAUCUUCUUCUUCAUUUUGAUUGUAUCAUUUUGAUUAUAUUGAGCAUGGUGAAAUGGGAUUGCUUAAUUUAAAAACUCAGGAUGCGUUCCCAAGCGAUUUGAGACACAAAUGUUGCGCAAUUUGGAACGCAAGAUCUGGAUGGCGGAACCCAGGUGGUUAGGAGAGUCUGGUAACUAUGAUUAGAAUAUUUGGUCCUGAGCACGUUCUUAGUUGUGGUUUCUGGGCAGGACUAGGAUCUGGGCAUUGCUCAAGUCCAGGUUCUGGUCAUAAUUCUGGGCAUAACUCAAUAGGUGGUGAUAUGUCAGGACAGUUAUUUUGGCAAAACAGUAGAUGUAGCCCUGAGUGUUCUCCUAUACCUAGCCCCAGAAUGACAAGUCCUGGUCCCAGCUCCAGAAUACACAGUGGUGCUGUUACCCCUCUGCAUCCAAGAGCUGGAGGCACUAACAUAGAGUCACCUACAGGCCGGUCUGAUGACGGAAAGCAAAAAAGUCACCGGUUGCCCCUGCCGCCAAUAACAAUAUCUAAUACCUGUCCCUUUUCUCCUGCAUACUCAACUGCAACAUCUCCUUCAGUGCCCCGAAGUCCUAAUAGGGCAGAAAAUCCAUUAAGCCCUGGUUCACGUUGGAAGAAGGGUCGCCUGUUAGGGAGAGGCACAUUUGGACAUGUGUAUCUAGGGUUUAACAGUGAAAGUGGUGAGAUGUGUGCAAUGAAGGAGGUAACCUUGUUCGCUGAUGAUCCAAGAUCAAAGGAAAGCGCACAACAGCUGGGACAAGUAAGUUUGGUUUACUAGUUUCAUGGGCAAUUUAUUGAUUAAAAGCUAUGUUCCUUUGAAGUAUUUAAAAUGUAGAUUCAGAAUCUCUCUCUUUUUUUUCUAUGAGGAAAGUUUCUUAUGAUUGAUGAUAUUUUCAGGAAAUUGCACUGCUAAGUCGCUUACGACAUCCUAAUAUAGUACAAUAUUAUGGAUCUGAAACGGUAGGUGCUUUACCAUUGUUAAGGACUCAAGGACAUUACUUUUUAAAGGUUGAUGUAGUUUGUUUUAAUAUUGUUGUGUUUUGCAAAUGAAUGUGUUACUGAUUAAUAUUCUUUCUUAUUUGUUUUACAAUAUUGCACAAAAAAUUUUGUGACUGCUUAGAGGUUGCAACAAUUUGAAAGCUAAUCGCUUUUGUAAUAAUCUUAUGGGAUUUAGUGUUUAUUAAUGUGUAUGACUGUGUCAUGCCAGUCUAUAUUUUGUUUGCAUGAGAAUUGCUAGAUAAAUUGAUUAGCAGUCAUUCAUUUAGGUUUUGUUAACUCAAU
rnacentral:misc_RNA from 1 species